AUGGCGAUGAUUGCUAACUCCACGGGGAUGACCUCCAAUGACCUCUCCCUGAACUCAACGUCGACCCUUAGUCCGGAACCUUGGACCCCGCCUCCUUGGUACCAAUUCCACGUCUGCUCCGUGGCCCCUUACGGAUUCAUCUUCUACUUUGGAGUCAAAGUCUUCAACCUGGCCAUAGGCACACCCUGCAAUAUACUGGUCCUGUGGCAGAUCUCCAGCAGGAAAAGUGACUCGUCCACGUCUGACAUCUUCAUCUUUAAUCUGGCUUUAAUGGACACCUACUUCUGCCUCAUGGGGCCUAUAGACAUUGUCAACAGGCUGGUCCUGGACCACCAAGGCAUCUGGUACUUCCAACGCUUUGCCUACGGGGUCAAAGACACAGGACCCCUCUUCCUGGUGUGUAUCUGUCUGGACCGCUACGUGGCCGUGGUCCAUCCGGUGCUGUUCACCGGUAUCCGUGACAACAAGAUCCGCGUUGGUGUCUCCGUGGUAACCUGGGCCCUCAUCCUGGCCUACAGCCUCACAAAGAGCAUCCUGGGAGUCAUGUCUGUCAACGAGGUGUUCAGCGGCCUCAUCCUCUUCGCCUUCGCCCUCAUGAUCUACUGUAACCUCUCCAUCAUAUGGGUCCUACGCCGCUCCGUAGCCGGGAAGGAGGUGAUGCACCCCGUGAAGAAGAAGGCCUUCAAAAUGGUGCUGGUCAUCUUGGGUAUAAUCUUUGUCAACUACCUUCCUCCUGUGGCUCUUGUUCCGUUCUUCUCCUACUACACGUUCGUCCAGUUCCGCUGUCAGGUGACUAUCAGUGUGUUCUCCAUCAUGGAUCUGAGUUGUAGUCUGGAGCCACUUCUGUAUAUGACCAAGAUGGACAGGCCUGCGUGUGUUCCUGGCUGGUGCUGUGCGGGGGAGAGCUCGGCCAAGAAACCCUACGAGGUUAAAGUGUGA
rnacentral:lncRNA from 13 species